AAUCCAACAAUCUAUUUUUAAAAAAUUCCUUUUAGAGUUCAUAUCUGUGCCUUUAUUCAUGUUGAUGAGGCAUGGGUGACUCAUGCAACUAAAAGUAAAAGAUCCACCAACUAACUUUUCUAUGUAUACAAAUACGUUGCAAAAUACAUGACCUCUGACAGUGGAAGAGAACAAUCUAGACUCAUUGCUUACUGCAGACAGCAAAUCCAAGGGAGAAACAGACAGCUUUAAAUUAUAGUGAUUCACCAUCAAGUUUAUGCGAAGAACCUGCAAAUGGAACAUGUUAUUGGAAUUCCAGUGAGCUCGGUAAAUUAUUCAGUUCAGCAGUCACCAAAAAGACUUCUAUGCAAUCCUGAUAACCAAUACCAUAUUCCCCCUCCUCCAAAUGGACCUUUCAAAUUCAAACAGAAUAAAGAAGGUACAGUGAUUGAUAAGAUGAACAAGUUCGGA